rnacentral:rRNA from 1 species
AUUGAACGCUGGCAGCAGGCCUAACACAUGCAAGUCGAGCGGAUGAAGGGAGCUUGCUCCUGGAUUCAGCGGCGGACGGGUGAGUAAUGCCUAGGAAUCUGCCUGGUAGUGGGGGAUAACGUCCGGAAACGGGCGCUAAUACCGCAUACGUCCUGAGGGAGAAAGUGGGGGAUCUUCGGACCUCACGCUAUCAGAUGAGCCUAGGUCGGAUUAGCUAGUUGGUGGGGUAAAGGCCUACCAAGGCGACGAUCCGUAACUGGUCUGAGAGGAUGAUCAGUCAAACUGGACAUGGGAAACGGUCCAGCACCCUACGGGAGGGAGAAGUGGGGAAUUUUGGACAAGGGGGGAAAGCCUGACCCAGCCAGGCCGGGGGUGUGAAGAAGGUUUUCGGUUUGUAAAGCACUUUAAGUUGGGAGGAAGGGCAGUAAGUUAAAACCUUGCUGUUUUGGAGUUACCAACAGAAUAAGCACCGGCUAACUUCGU